UCGAGCUGCGGAGGAAGCACAGAAGCUCAAAGACGCGGCGAUGGAGCUCGAGGAGAAGCACACAGAGAUUCUAACAGGGAGUACCACUAACGCGAUGAACAAGUCCCACCACUUUCGAGCAAUAUCGUCUUGACGCGGCAGAAAUGCCGUCACGCUCGUGCUAUUGAGUGCCAUGCUUUCGAGUUUGAUAGUCUCAAACUGGCCGGCCAUCCUCAAGCACGUGUUUGACUUCCUGCUCCACCACAGCAUAACAAUUUGAAUAUUCUGACCAAAAUUACAGAUGGUUUCUCCUCUUACUGGAUAGACUAGACGAACUGAAGAGAAGCUUACUCC